AUUGAACUGAAGAGUUUGAUCCUGGCUCAGAUUGAACGCUGGCGGCAUGCCUUACACAUGCAAGUCGAACGGCAGCACGGGCUUCGGCCUGGUGGCGAGUGGCGAACGGGUGAGUAAUACAUCGGAACAUGUCCUGUAGUGGGGGAUAGCCCGGCGAAAGCCGGAUUAAUACCGCAUACGAUCUGAGGAUGAAAGCGGGGGACCUUCGGGCCUCGCGCUAUAGGGUUGGCCGAUGGCUGAUUAGCUAGUUGGUGGGGUAAAGGCCUACCAAGGCGACGAUCAGUAGCUGGUCUGAGAGGACGACCAGCCACACUGGGAC
rnacentral:rRNA from 1 species